AGAUAAUAGAUACCCAGGUAGUCCUAGCAGUAAACGGUGCACGUUUGGUGUAGGAGGAUUCGACCCCUUCUGUGCCGGAGCUAAACGCGUUAAACGUGCCGCCUGGGAAGUACGGUCGCAAGAUUAAAACUCAAAGAAAUUGACGGGGGCCCGCACAAGCGGUGGAGUAUGUGGCUUAAUUCGAUGCAACGCGAAGAACCUUACCAGGGUUUGACAUGUAUUGUGUCGGCGGUGAAACGCCGCCUAGUUGUAGCAAUACAACGUCUUUACACAGGUGCUGCAUGGCUGUCGUCAGCUCGUGUCGUGAGAUGUUAGGGUUAACGUCCCGCAACGAGCGCAACCCCGUAUGUUCUGUUGCCACGUGGCUUCGUCGACG
rnacentral:rRNA from 1 species